AGAGUUUGAUCCUGGCUCAGAUUGAACGCUGGCGGAAUGCUUUACACAUGCAAGUCGAACGGCAGCACGGGGGCAACCCUGGUGGCGAGUGGCGAACGGGUGAGUAAUACAUCGGAACGUGCCCAGUCGUGGGGGAUAACGCAGCGAAAGCUGUGCUAAUACCGCAUACGAUCUACGGAUGAAAGCGGGGGAUCGCAAGACCUCGCGCGAUUGGAGCGGCCGAUGGCAGAUUAGGUAGUUGGUGGGGUAAAGGCUCACCAAGCCUGCGAUCUGUAGCUGGUCUGAGAGGACGACCAGCCACACUGGGACUGAGACACGGCCCAGACUCCUACGGGAGGCAGCAGUGGGGAAUUUUGGACAAUGGGCGCAAGCCUGAUCCAGCCAUUCCGCGUGCAGGAUGAAGGCCUUCGGGUUGUAAACUGCUUUUGUACGGAACGAAAAGGCUCUGGUUAAUACCUGGGGCUCAUGACGGUACCGUAAGAAUAAGCACCGGCUAACUACGUGCCAGCAGCCGCGGUAAUACGUAGGGUGCGAGCGUUAAUCGGAAUUACUGGGCGUAAAGCGUGCGCAGGCGGUGAUGUAAGACAGAUGUGAAAUCCCCGGGCUCAACCUGGGAACUGCAUUUGUGACUGCAUCGCUGGAGUGCGGCAGAGGGGGAUGGAAUUCCGCGUGUAGCAGUGAAAUGCGUAGAUAUGCGGAGGAACACCGAUGGCGAAGGCAAUCCCCUGGGCCUGCACUGACGCUCAUGCACGAAAGCGUGGGGAGCAAACAGGAUUAGAUACCCUGGUAGUCCACGCCCUAAACGAUGUCAACUGGUUGUUGGUCCUUCACUGGAUCAGUAACGAAGCUAACGCGUGAAGUUGACCGCCUGGGGAGUACGGCCGCAAGGUUGAAACUCAAGAAUUGACGGAAUU
rnacentral:rRNA from 1 species